ACACUUCCAUCCUAUGGGACAGGGCAGAGAAAAUUGCAUGUGUGCAUGGAAUUAAGCAGGAUCCACAUUUCAGGAGGCAGCUGGCCAGAGUAUCUUCAGUGGAAUGCUAAUUCAAGGUUCCAGUUCUGGUAUUACUUAACAUCACCUAUCACACUAAAUGGGAAUCUCCAGCAUGUUAUUUGGAGGACUAUGGCACUAGUGAAGUGUGAAGAAAGAGGAAAGCUGCUGUUCAUGGCAGUGUGAUCCCUCCCGAGCUGCCACAUCACAACGGCCAUGCUGCAAGGGAUUCCUGGCAGAUGGAAGACCACAUCUUGUGAUGUUCAGCAGCCACUGAGGUACACCAUAGGAUAAUGAAAAACAUGAAGCGUGGUGUGCAGCUACAUCCUUUAUCUUGUCUGAGAGCUGCUGCUAGGACUGGACCCGAUGCCUCCAUCCAGAGCUGCUUUCCAUUGCAUCUAGUCAUCAGACACGCUCAGAUGUCCAUUGGAUCAAUAAGCAGAUGUGAUCCACUCUGAAACUCUCUCAUCUCUGACAAAAAGGAAACAGGAAUACGUGUCUGGGGGCAGAAGACAACUAUUUCAACAACAGUUCACCCUCAGAUUGUAUGAGUUGUGCCCUGCUGCAACUGCUGGUGAACCAGGAGUGCUGCAGUGAAAAUGGAGCUUAAGACAUUCAUGAAUCUUCUUUUUAAAGCACCUGCGGCAGUGUUGGCAGAUAAUACCUCAAUAAUUCAUGAAUUCCUGUUCUAUUACAGAUGUGCUUUUGUAUUGUGGGGUUUGGUUUUUUUUGACUGAAAAACUGUAUCUAAAAUCUCAGCCAAAUAGUCUUUGCUGCAGAAGCAUCUAUACCAGGUUUUUACUGAAUGUAUUACUACAGAUGGAUAGAGGAGGAAGAAAAGAACCCAUUAAUUUCUUUUUCAGGUGGAAGUUCCCUUGAAAUUCUCCUUGCCAGCAGUAGCUUCUCAAAUGAUGAGAAGUAGCUACCGAUCAGAAGUCUCAAGAACCACAAAAGAUUAACUCCUGCCACAGCAAUUAGGCAAAAGAGAAUGUAUGAGGGCACAUUCCUUGAUCCUCCAAGAAUCCAAGCUGGGCAAUGCUGCUCUUUGCACUCUGUCUUCCCACAGCAGGCCAUAGGGUUUGCUUUAAAGACCAUCAUCCUGAAGCCAACACACAUAAAAGAGAUAUGCAUGCUUUGCUUUCUUUUUCAUGUGCUCCUGUUUAUGAGGCCAUACUUCCAAUAACUACAGAGUAAGUCUACAGAGUCUGAACUCGUGUUUUGCCUUUUUCAACUUUCUGUUAUUAGUCUUGGGAUAAAUGGGGUUAAAGAAACUUUGUAGCACCUAAGAGGCUAAUGAAAGACUGACUGCAGGAAAAAUCCAUGCUUUGGCCACUGUUUUAAUGACAUCUGAAAUUUCAUAUGACCACAAAAAUGUGGAAGGAGACACACCGUCACCCGGCACGCUCAGCAUGGUCGUUGCCACAGCAAGCUGCAAUACAGCAGCUCUCACUGAAUGGAAAGGGGA